UAUAAGGGCAUCAUGAUGGAGGAUCACUGGCCCCUCACAUCAUCAGAUAAGGAAGAGAUAACAACACCGGAGAGAUGCCCCACUCCUCUUCUUCUACAGGAUGGGUCAGAAGAAUGUCACAAUGUCCCACAGGAUAAUCAGCUUGUGAAUCCGGGUGAAGAUCUGAAUAAUAUUAAUCCUACAGAGACAUAUGUG